UUUGAGAGUUCAGUAACUCAGCAUGAAUCUUAAUAAAGUUUAAUAACAGUUCUUGGGGUGUUCUUAUUAGCUUUCCUCCAAGGAAGGAAUGUAAUACUUUAACCUCAGAACCAACUUUUUCUUUGUCACCUCCUGGUCAUGUCUGUUUGUAAAGCCUCGUCAUAGGACUAUCUCCACCACAGGGCAUAAGAGGAAGAAACUAAGGUGGGAGGAAUUUUGGGUGAUUCAUCAAAGGUCAUAUGGUUAAUGACAGAGCCAAGAUUCUUGUGGUCAGUGCUGUUUCUGUCAUAUCAUGUUGUCUAUAGGAUCCGGACUGCUGUGGUUGGUUGUGCAGACUGUGCACUGCACAAAGGCACCCAGCUGAUGGGUGACAGGGCACCAUGAGCCAAGGAGGCCUCUUUUUGUAAGUAGCACAAAAGCUUCCAAUGUACUAGUAGGGGCCUUGCUCAUUAUUUGUUAUUAUGAGGUAACUCUCAACAGACCUGAAUUCUUAAGUGUAUAUUAGAGUUAUUUUUAUAAAAUUGGUGCCUGCAGGGCCGGUUCUAGGUAUAAGGAUGCUUGGAUUUCUCAGCACCUUCCUGCAUGAUUUUGCUGUCCCGAGUCUUGCCUCCUCUACACCCAGGAUCCACCACCGCAUUGCCUCAGCAAGAUUAGCCCUGUUUUAUAACAGCCCUACUGAUGUAUAAUGAACAAACAAUAGACUCAAUAUAUUUAAAGUGUUCAAUUUGACAAAUGUUGAAAUAUGUGCACACCCAUGAAGCCAUCACCACAAAGUGAUCCACCUGUCCGCCACCCCCAAAACUUUCCUUCUGUCCCUUUAUAAUCUCUCCUUCACCCCUUCCUCUUGUCUCCAUGGAUCCUUGAUCUGCUUUAUAUCACCCCAGAUCAGUUUACAUUUGCUAGAGUUUUAUGUAAAUCAAAUCAUACCGUGUAUGCUGUUUUUUAUUUGGCUUCUUUCACCAGCGUAUUUAUUACGAGCUUUGUCCAUGUUGUAGUGUGGAUUAAUACAUUAUUCCUUUUCUUAAAAAAAGAUUUUAUUUAUUCAUGAGAGACACAGAGAGAGAAAUAGAGACAUAGACAGAGGGAGAAGCAGGCUUCAUGCAGGGAGCCCGAUGUGGGACUCGAUCCCUGGACCGAGAUCAUGCCCUGAGCCAAAGACAGCCGCUCAACCGCUGAGCCACCCAGGUAUCCCUACAUUAUUCCUUUUUUUGUUGCUGAGCUGUAUUCCACUGUGUGGACGUGCCGUAGUGUGUGUAUCCAUUCACCUGAUGAUGGACACUUGGGUUGUUUUCAGUGUUGCUAUGUUUUCUUGCUUGCUUUCCUCUCUCUCUCUUUCCUUCCUUCCCUCGUUUCUCUUUCUCUCUCACUAAUACAAAGAAGGCUGCUGUAAAUAUUUGCCUUCAAGUCUUUGUAUGGGCGCGGGCAUUUAUUUCACCUGAGUAAAUAUCUAGAGGUAGAACGGCUGGAUGGUAUGGUAAGUGUAUGUUUAACCAUUUAAGAAGGUGGCAAACUGUUUCCCGAGUAAUUGUACCAUUUCAUAUUCCCAACACUUAAUAUGGUCAACCUUCUUUAGACAUUCUAAGAGAUGGCACAACACUAUCUCAUUGUGGUUUUAAUGUGCAUUUCCCUAAUGAACAAUGAUGUUGAGUAUUUUUUAAUGUAUUUAUUUGCUAUCCAUAUAUCUUCUUUGUUCAAGUCUUUUGCUCACUUAAAACUGCUUGCUUUAUUAUUACUGCGUUUUGGGAGUUAUUAAUAUAUUGUGGAUAUCAAUUCUUUAUCAGAUACAUGAUUUGCAAACAUUUUCUCCUACUCUGUGCCUCACCUUUUCAUUUUCUUAACAAUGUCCUUUAAAGAGCAGUUCUUAAUUUUGAUGCAGCCCAAUUAAUUUUUUUAUGAGCGUGUUUUAUUCUUUUGGUGUUGGAUGUAAGAAAGCUUUCCCUAACCUGAGGCCACAAAGAUUUUCUCUUCUAGAAAUUUCAUAAUUUUACUUUUACAUUUAGAUUUCUGCUCCAUUUUAACUUAUUUUUUUGUCCAUAGUACAAAGGUGGGACAGAGUUAAUUUUUUUGCAUAAGGAUAGCUGACAGUUCCAUUUUUAUGAGUUGAAAACAUUAGACUUUCUUCCCUGAAUUGUCUUUAUACCUGUGUAAAAAAUCAAUUAACUAUAUUGGUGUGAGUCUACUUUGGACUGUUCAUUUUUUUUCUAUUGAUCAUAUUGUCUAUCUGACACCAAUAGCAUAUUAUCUUAAUUACUGCAUUCUGUUCCAUUGAUCUAUUUAUCUACCUUGAUGUCAAUAUUACAGUAUCUUAAUUACUGAGGCUUUAUAAUAAAUAUCAAAGUAAGGUAAUAUAAAAUCUGGUUUUCCUAGGUCCCUUACAUUUUCCUAUGAAUUUUACAAUCAGCUUGUCACUUUCUACAAAAAAAAAAAAAAAAAAAAAA
rnacentral:lncRNA from 1 species